CACCCCAGGCGAACCGAUUUUACGGAAGUUUGCUCGGGAAUCGAUCGUUCAUUUAGCAUGUCAAAUGGGUUCAGUGCACUGUCGAAGCGAUGCCAAUCGUCAACUACGUCGCCACUUAGAAACUGGUGAAGAGUUCCAUCAAAACAUUCGACACACGUUAAUGUGUGCAUCGUUGCGAAGUGCAACAAGAACCGACUUCCAUUCAAUGUGGAAUCGGCUUAUGUCGUUGCCAUUGGAGUAUUUCAGUGAAAGAACCGAAAUAAUCGAAUGGUUGGCUUGUUCGCAGUCUCGCGUCUUGUUGAAUGAAUUUGUUAGAUCGUCGAUCAACUCGACCAAUUCUAACAAUGUCGAGUACACCUAUUUCGAGCAGUACAGCGUUUUCAAUGCAAUCGUUCGAAAUGCUGGUAAUAUUGGCCUUGGCGUUGCACUGGAAUUUUAAACGAAAAUGCCGUUGAAGCGUUCCACACGUAUGGUCAGUGGUUCGUUCAGAGUCUUGCAUUCGUCGUAAGUAACGCUGAACACGCGGAACUGUUCCUUACAUUCCAACACAUCUUACUCGAUGCGGGUUUGAUGGUUCAAGGUGAAAUCAAUUUCAAUAUGGAACAAGUUGCCGAGUCUGCGAAAUGGCUAGAGACAGAGGGUGAAGUUGUCAAUGAUUGGCUUUUGGAAAACUUUGCUUAAAGGAUUUGUGAAUGUCGUUUCGUUUAAGAAAUAAAACUUUUAUUAACCUGUCA